rnacentral:rRNA from 1 species
AUACGUAGGGUGCGAGCGUUGUCCGGAAUUACUGGGCGUAAAGAGCUCGUAGGUGGUUUGUCGCGUCGUCUGUGAAAUUCCGGGGCUUAACUCCGGGCGUGCAGGCGAUACGGGCAUAACUUGAGUACUGUAGGGGAGACUGGAAUUCCUGGUGUAGCGGUGAAAUGCGCAGAUGUCAGGAGGAACACCGGUGGCGAAGGCGGGUCUCUGGGCAGUAACUGACGCUGAGGAGCGAAAGCAUGGGUAGCGAACAGGAUUAGAUACCCUGGUAGUCCAUGCCGUAAACGGUGGGCGCUAGGUGUAGGGGUCUUCCACGACUUCUGUGCCGUAGCUAACGCAUUAAGCGCCCCGCCUGGGGAGUACGGCCGCAAGGCUAAAACUCAAAGGAAUUGACGGGG